rnacentral:rRNA from 1 species
CCUACGGGAGACAGCAGUGGGGAAUAUUGCACAAUGGGGGAAACCCUGAUGCAGCGACGCCGCGUGAGUGAAGAAGGAAUUCGGGAUGUAAAGCUCUAUCAGCAGGGAAGAAAAUGACGGUACGUGAGGAAGAAGCCACGGCUAACGACGUGCCAGCAGCCGCGGGAAUACGUAGGGGGCAAGCGUUAUCCGGAUUUACUGGGUUUAAAGGGAGCGUAGACGGCAGUGCUAGUCUGUAGUGACAGGCGGGGGGUCAACCCCCGGACUGCUCUGGAAACGGUCCGGCUGGAGGGCAGUAGAGUUCUGUGGAAUUCCUAGUGUAGCGGUGCAAUGCGUAGAUAUUACGAGGAACCCCAGUGGCGACGGUGGCUUACUGGACUGUCACUGACGUUGCGGCUCGAAAGCGUGGGGAGCACACAGGAUUAGAUACCCUGGUAGUC